AUAAUGAUAUAUACUACAAUAAAUGAAAUAUACUUGACAUUAUUACUUGUAAAAGAUAAUUGUAUAUAAUCUUGCAUAUUAACAGUCUCUAAUAUUAUUUUAUAAUAUUUAUGUUUGUGUUUUGUUUUACAUCGAUGUGUAAUUGAUGUUCGACAUUUUAUAACAUAUUUUGGGAAAUUUAUAUAUAUUGUUUUUAUAUAACAAAAAUUGAUUAUUAUAAAUUAAAAAAUAACUAUGUGUGAAAUUUAUUGUGUUCUAAAUGAUUAUUCUGCAAACGUUCAUAAGUGUUAGAACGUACAUCGUACAAGUAAUCGAAGAAAUUUUAAUAGAAGAGAAUUUUAAUAUGUAAAUUGUGUAUAGUAUAAUUGAGGAUAGUAAUAUGUAAAAAUCAUUGCAACAUGUGUUUUCAAAUACUAACAAGAAGUAGGUAAAGUUGAUUAAUAAAUGCCUGGAGUUUGUCCACGUUGUAAUCGCGAGGUUUACUUCGCAGAAGAGAAAUUAGCCCUUGGAAAAGUUUGGCAUACGUUUUGUUUCUCUUGUCGUAAUUGUCGAAAAUUACUGAAUAGUUGUAACGUUGUGACGCAUCUCGGUGAAUUAUUUUGCAAGAAUUGUUAUGUUCGUCUGUCUUUGUCAACUGUGAAUCAUGAAAUCAAAAAAGUACAGCACUCGCCUGCAACCUUAACAAUUUCGGCAAAGGAAUCAUUAAAUUGCCAGUGUUUUGACACAGAAAAUUCAAUCGGUAACGCGUCACUAAAUAGAAAUCAACAUUAUCAAUCUGACAAGCAUAGACUUCGCGGUGGAGGUAGCGAAGUCGAGGAGACAAACGUUUAUUUUGACAAGGAGAAAAAGCAUUUCUUAGAAAACGAGUGUGCAAAUCUGGGUGUUGUCAAUUCAAUGACAACAAUUUGCGACCCUUCACCCAGUCCUAACGCAAUUACUACGUGGUACAAUCGUCAACAUUCUAAGUUCCGCAGUACAUUGUCUCUGGAGUCGCAGAAGAAUAACGAUAUCGCGAAAGAUUGUCGAUUUGAAGCGCAGAAACAAGAAACAGAUCAAUCUGAUCCAAAGAUUUUGUUUAGUAAUAAUGAAGUCAACAUUACAGAGGCUCAAUUAAGCAUAGACAAAACUCAAGUGACAACUAUCAACCGGAAUAAUAAAAUUAACAAAUACGACCCCGUGUACGAAUUUAGUGACAUUAGCGUCAUUAUUCCGUCAAGACGAAAAUUUGCGUAUCCGCCGGUACCACCGCCUCGCAGUCCGCUGCCUUCCCGACGACGAGUCUCGUUCCAUGACGUCGUCUUCGGAAAUAUGCGCGAAAACCACCAGAAUUGUAUCACGAAAAUGCAGGAUGCUCAUCAUAGGCUCCGUUACAAUAACGAUAAUAGACAGGAAUAUAAUAAUACUUACGAUAUUUGGCAAGCGGACGAUUUGGUUGGUAAAAAUGACGGCGGAUACGAAAAUGUUAACGUAAAUCAUACCGAAGAUAGUGGCAGAAUACAUUUUGAAAAAAGCGCGUCAGAGUGCGGUGAAGAAGAUACGAUAAGCAAAUGCAAUGACAUCGAGAAGAAUCGUGGGCAAGAUCGUUGCGUCAAAGGCAAUUCAGAGUCGCGCACGUACAGAAUAAUGAACGAAAAAGACGAUGCAUCGUCGAAAGAAGACAUGAUGACGUACGCUCAUCAAAGUGGCCCGAACUCAUCACUUGAUGAAAACGAACGAAUGCGGGGAGGAUGCGGUGGACCGUGCGGACCUCGUCUUAGACCUUCGUGUGGAACAACAAAAGUUGAAACUGCUUGUCUUUGCAGAAGAGAUCCAUCAGAACAAUGUCGCACAGCUGUAACGUCCUGUACAACCUGUUCGUCCAAUGUUCAACCAAUUAUUGAGAGACGUUGUUGUUGUUCAUCAUCGCUUGAACGGCCAAUUUGCAAGAAACCGAUUUUUAGAUGUCGUCAACCGUGCACUGUAGAAUCUCAAAGUUGUGGUGGAGGUGGAUGUUGUGGAGGAGGAUGUCGUGGUGGUUGUGGAAAACCUGGACAAACGUGUUUACCUGCGAAAUCUUGCGUGGUACCACCUUGUCGACCGUGUUCACCUUGUUCUCCACCACGAUCGUGUUCUCCUCAAGUAAUUUGUUGUUGUGGUCCAAAAAGUGGAAAUUGUUGUGGAAAUGGAGGUAGCACAUGCUGUUGCCGGUCAAAAAGUCCAAUAUGUCGAGUAAGAACCAGAAGAUGUUGUAGUACCGAUAGAGCAGAACCCAUUGAUUUAGGAUGUUGCCGACCGAAAACUGCAUGCGAUUGUUUUGGCGGAGGUCUUGAUUGUCAGCGCUGUGGCCGAAAAGUGUAUCAAGCUGAAAUGCAGCUCUCUUGCAUUUACACAGCAAACACACAUGUAAGAAUAAUAUUUUGAAUGUAUAAUGAACGGCGCAGCGCAUCGCGAGCUGGCACGGAAAUCCUGCAAAAAAUCAAGCAAGAAUGAUAUUUGCGCGAAGAUUCAGUUGGUUUCAUGCAGCACAAGUAGAGGAUGGGAACGAAGAAGAAAGUUGGAGCAGAAUUUCGAAUAACAGAUACGCUGCAAUGCCGCUCCGUCGAGUAAUAAUAUCGAACAAUAUUUUUCCGCUUAUAAUAUUCUCAAUAGUAGACGCGUUAGGAUGAAGUUCUUUCGGAGAAUUGUAUGAACAGAAAAUUGCUUUUUACGUGCGUGUUCCUCUGGCUCUUCGUGGUAGAAUAGCAAUUAAUUCUAUACCAGCGAAAGUGAAGUAUAAAAUUAGCAAGAGGCGAAAGAUAUUAUGAAAUAAAUUAGAGAUAAUAAUGGGAAAUUCGCAGUAUAACGUGUUACGAUCGUCGAAACGCUACAUCGCAGAUUUAUUGAAGACAUUUCGUUUCUAAUAACUUUACUAUUUUAAUCGAGAUAAUUUUUCUAAAGAAAGUAUCAGUUUUCCUCGUUUGAAAUACAUCAUGGAAGAACGUAAAUCACGUGGAGCCGACAACUCUAUGACAGCUACUUAAAGCUUGCGGUUUCCCAUAGGACUAUUUGGUCAGAUUAGACCCGGCAAAUCUAUGUAUAAUGUACCUCCCUUUAUUCCGGCUAAAAUCGAAAAUAUGGGAAAUAUUAGGCGCUAAUUUAUACAUCAAUUUAUACAUCAUAAAGCGCGAGAACGUGCGCGACAGACGUAACAACGAGCGAUGUGUCAUAAUAAAAUCCUCGACUUCGUGUCAGGAUGUAAGGCGACUGGCAUUAUGCCGAUUCUAUUAUAUGCCAUAUUAUUGUCGGUCGCCCCGAAGAAAAUGACUGAUGACAGAGAAACUUUUCGUACAAAGCCGAAUGGACGUUGGCAACCGUGUGUCGCUCUUUCGUAUAUGGGAAUCAUCGAACGACAGAGACAGAGAAGGGAAGAAGAAAAAAAAAGAAGAGAAAUCGUUUCUACCGGUGUGAAAGGAGAAUUGAAAAGGGAAAAAGCAGAAGUGGGCGGCAUAAUUCGAUCGUUUUCCAAAAAUGUGGAAAAAACG